rnacentral:rRNA from 1 species
CCUACGGGUGGCUGCAGUAAGGGAUAUUGGUCAAUGGGGGAAACCCUGAACCAGCAACGCCGCGUGAGGGAAGACGGUUUUCGGAUUGUAAACCUCUGUCCUCUGUGAAGAUGAUGACGGUAGCAGAGGAGGAAGCUCCGGCUAACUACGUGCCAGCAGCCGCGGUAAUACGGAGGAUCCGAGCGUUAUCCGGAUUUAUUGGGUUAAAAGGGAGCGUAGGUGGAUUGUUAAGUCAGUGGUCAAAUUGAGGGGCUCAACCCCUUCCCGCCAUUGAAACUGGCGCUCUUGAGUGGAAGAGAAGUAUGCGGAAUGCGUGGUGUAGCGGUGAAAUGCAUAGAUAUCACGCAGAACCCCGAUGGCGAAGGCAGCAUGCCGGCUUCCGACUGACGCUGAAGCACGAAAGCGUGGGGAUCGAACAGGAUUAGAUACCCGUGUAGUC